rnacentral:rRNA from 1 species
UACGAAGGGGGCUAGCGUUGCUCGGAAUCACUGGGCGUAAAGCGCACGUAGGCGGCUCGUUAAGUCAGGGGUGAAAUCCUGGAGCUCAACUCCAGAACUGCCUUUGAUACUGGCGAUCUCGAGUCCGGGAGAGGUGAGUAGAACUGCGAGUGUAGAGGUGAAAUUCGUAGAUAUUCGCAAGAACACCAGUGGCGAAGGCGGCUCACUGGCCCGGUACUGACGCUGAGGUGCGAAAGCGUGGGGAGCAAACGGG